AUGUGAGAAGUCACUCUGGAACCAUCCAAGGGAAACUGGGAGUCUCUGGGCUGGUGUUUAGGAGAGGCAGACUCAAAGGACCGAGGUCGUCGAGGGAGGACAGGAAGUCUCGAGGCCUGCAGCUGCCAGCCCUGGUCUACAUCCUUACCUCUCUGCGGUCCCCUUGCUGCGCAGGAGGCCACCUCGGAUCCUGUGCCAUAUCUGCACGGGGGUGGCAGCACCAGCCACAUGCAGCCCUGUCGUCACAUGCUUUCUCAGAACCCGGUCAGCAGACAUCUGCUCUGGAGGAAAGGCUGAGAAUAUGAGAUGUGGGCGUUUCCUGUCUCUGAGGUGGAGGUGGGUGAGGCAGCAGAGAAGUACAUGUUUGUGUGGCCGUGAGAACCAGACCCUGUGAUGCGUUGCCCAGAGCCUCAUUCAAUGAAGGACCUGCUGCCCCAGCUGUGGAUCCGUGGUUGGCAGGCCAUCUUCAACUGUCAGACCCCUUGGGGACUGACUCAGCUGCAGGGUGGCCUCGCCCUAAGUCAGGCCUUCCCAGGGAGCCCCAGCCAGUGCUGAUCCACAGAGAUGUGGAUAUAUGGGCCCAACCGGGACAAUUUUGCAGGGGCCUUCUAACACCAGAGCUUCCCAUGGUAUUAUGGCCAAAUUGUGCCCCCUUCCUAUUCAUAUGUUGAAGGCUUAACCCCCAGAAUGGACCUAUCAGAAUGUCCAGACAGGUCAUUUAAGAAGACUUCAUGGCAGGUCCUUACCCAGUAUAGCAGAUGUCCUUAUAAAAUGAGGAGAUUAGGACAUAGACACACACAGAAGGAAGACUGUGAUGACCCUAGAGGAAGUCAGCAAUCUACAAGCCAAGGAGAGAGGUCUCAGAAGAAACCAAAUCUGCUGACAUUGGUCUCAGACUUCUAGCCUGCAGAAUUGUGAAGAAGCAAUUUCUGUUGUUUAAGCCACCCGGUCUGUUCUGUUCUGGCAGCCCAGCACACCAGCCCGUGGGGGUUGGCUGAGGCUGUGGGCCUGCGUCCCAGCUUGGCCUCCUCCUCUGUCCUCUCCUGCUUCCU